UAGGCGGACGGGUGAGUAACGCGUAAAGAACUUGCCCUUUAGACUGGGAUAACAGAGGGAAACUUCUGAUAAUACUGGAUAAGUUAGUAUAUCGCAUGAUAUGCAAAUGAAAGCUACGGCACUAAAGGAGAGCUUUGCGUCCUAUUAGCUAGUUGGUAAGGUAAGAGCUUACCAAGGCGAUGAUAGGUAGCCGGCCUGAGAGGGUGGACGGCCACAAGGGGACUGAGAUACGGCCCUUACUCCUACGGGAGGCAGCAGAUC
rnacentral:rRNA from 1 species